GUUCCCCUGUGCUGUGUAGGCACCUCAACUGCCCUCCACCUCUGCUCAUUUUCUGUCACAUGGGGAGAGGCAGGUCUAGGGCCAGGCAGGGGUGCCCAGCCAGAUUGGUGUGCCCUUUGCCUCCACCCCACAUGAGGCCAAGAAAGAGCCAGAGCACAUGUCCGGGUUCUGGAAGCAGGCAGCUGCCUUUUUGGCUUGUUUUGAAGCAAUCAGAACUUAAUUGCUUGUGACCCUGAAGGAGAACUUCACCCAUGGAAAACAACUGUCCCAGAAACUUGGUGUGUGCACAGGAAUCCAGAUGUUCCUCUUAGUAUGAUUCAGACCAUUUGUCUUCUGGUUCUCACAUGAGACAGAAUGACACAAUAGACGUGAAGAUGCCCACGGGAGAGUAAUUCAUGUGCUUGCAUACACAGACAGUGUGGCUUUUCCAAACAGACGGGAUCGCAGGAGAGCAGAGGAGACCCCCAAUGUCCCUAACCAGCUCUGCAUACACAGGGACAGGUCAGUCAUCAUCCGCAGUUUUACCUGGAGUCUUCACGGACCGCUUCUUCUGGCCUGUCAAAAAGCAAGUGCAGGUUUGGAUGGCAGGGAACAAAGUUGACGAGGAGGCUGAACACUGCAUGAAGAGAGGACCAAGCCAAUGAGAGAACAAAGGCAGCAACAGAAAACCAAACAAACCCUGCCACAGACCUGAUGGGGGAUGAGUCGCUGGACGUGGAUGAGGAUAUCAUGCAAAGAGCAAGGAAGUCAAGCAAGUUGGGCGAGCAGGGCUGCAAGGAGCGCUGGUCAUCAGGAUGACAAGAGUGGGUCUGAGCAAACGAUACAGAAAUAAACAACUGAAAAUCACAGACUCCAUCAUGGUGUGUACUCAGCACUUUACAGCAGACACUGUGUAUAUGCCAACCUUUAGGAACUUGCAAAAUGUGAUUUCAACUUAACAAGUAGAAAAAAAAAAAAAAAAGAAACUCAUAUGC